GACUUUGGACUAGUCCUGGCAGCUGCAAAGUUAUUUUCAUCGGCUUCUGACCCAGGCCCUCCCUGCAGGGCACAGGUGCCUGAGAAUGUACCCCUGUCUCUGCUCACAAGGUGAGCAAGGGGGGCUGGAAGACAAGCUCUCUCUGGACUCCUGGCAAGACUUCUAGAAAGUCCUAGCUGCUAAUUUCCUUGGCAGCCUAGGAGUCAAGGGUCUGAGGCAGCACUCAGGGCUUGAAAUGAAAUGAAGCUCAUUUACUGAGCAUCUAGGAUAUGCCAGAAGUUUUCUCUUCAUUUGUCUCAUUCUUCCUCACAGUAAUCCAAAUAAAUGUUUUCUUUUGUCAUUGAAACGGAGACCCUAACAGAGCAAGAGGCCUGACCUUCACACCUAUGUAACCCAAGGUCACAGAAAUGCUGAGGGGCCAUGUGACUCCAGUGAAGCAGGAGUAUCCAUCCAGCCACAGAGAUGGGACCUGUCCAAAUGGGACCUGUCUGUUCCAAAGGUUAUUCUGCUUGUUCUGGAGACUGGGAAUUCCAAGAGCAUGAUACCAGCAUCUGGCGAGCGUUAUCCCCUGGUAGGAAGUAUCACAUGGUGAGUGAAUGUAUAAGACAGAGAGAAAAGUGAACCGAAC
rnacentral:lncRNA from 1 species